GGGGGCGUAGUGUAGUCGGUUAACAUGCCGGCCUGUCAAGCCGGAGACCGCGGGUUCAAGUCCCGUCGCUCCCGCCA
rnacentral:tRNA from 1 species